UUUGGAAGCCAAAAAUAAAAACCCUAAUAUAAAAGAUCUCUCACUCUUAUUCUAAAUAGGAGCAGCGGCAGAACCCCCAUCCCCUCCCCUGAACCAAAAAUCUUAACGUCGCAGCACACAUUAACACACAACCGCCACUUAUCUACUUCUUCCUCCAAAAACACUACCAUUUUUAGCUCCAAAAUUACCCUUUAAACCACCUUGAAUCAACCCAAAACGUCACCUAAGAACCCUCCCAAAAGCAGCUCCAAACAGCCCCCUUUUCAUUAUAUAACAGAAGCGUUGGGAGUUGAGUCGAGGUCGUCGUACACGAUUCUGCUUGAGAUCUAGUUUAUUUUGUUAUAGAUGCUGGGAGAGUAUUUGUUCGAUUUUCUGUUGUAAUAGAUGCUGGGAGAGUAUUUGUUCGAUUUUCUGUUUUCUUCUUUGCUUUUCGAAAUAAAGUUGCAUCAGCAUGAUCUUUAACUUUGAAAUAGGCUCCUUCUUCGUUUGAGCUAACGAAAGAGUAGUGCCCUUUUCAGAUUGUUUUAGGUAAUUCUUUGUUGCUACUUUCUAUGUAUUUUAAGAUUUGGACAAUUUUUUAAGACCUCUCUGUUCAUAGAUUUCAAUACUAUUUUGAUAUGGUUUUUGAAGAAUUACUAAUUAAUUAUAGUAAAGCUGUUAUUUUUUUA